rnacentral:rRNA from 1 species
GCACCCCUUUUUUUUAUUUGCAAGAUUUCAGUUGGGCACUUUAGGGUGACUCCCGGUGACAAACCGGAGGAAGGGGGGAUGAGGUCAAAUCAUCAGCCCUUUAUGACCGGGGUACACACGUGUUACAAGGGACGGAAAAAAAGGCAGAGAAACCGGGAGGUUAAGCCAAUCCCACAAAUCUUUUUCAGUUCGGAUCGCAGUCUGCAACUCGACUGCGUGAAGCUGGAAUCGCUAGUAAUCGCGGAUCAGCAUGCCGCGGUGAAUACGUUCCCGGGCCUUGUACACCCCGCCCGGUCGACCACCCACGGGAGU